UACGUAGGGCGCAAGCGUUAUCCGGAAUUAUUGGGCGUAAAGAGCUCGUAGGCGGCUUGUCGCGUCGUUCGUGAAAACCUGCAGCUCAACUGCAGGCUUGCGGUCGAUACGGGCAGGCUGGAGUUCGGUAGGGGAGACUGGAAUUCCUGGUGCAGCGGUGAAUGCGCAGAUAUCAGGAGGAACACCGGUGGCGAAGGCGGGUCUCUGGGCCGAUGACUGACGCUGAGGAGCGAAAGCGUGGGGAGCGAACAGG
rnacentral:rRNA from 1 species